GAUGAACGCUGGCGGCAGGCCUAACACAUGCAAGUCGAGCGGCAGCGGGACCUUCGGGUUGCCGGCGAGCGGCGGACGGGUGAGUAAUGCCUAGGAAUCUGCCUGUUAGUGGGGGAUAACGCGGGGAAACUCGCGCUAAUACCGCAUACGUCCUACGGGAGAAAGCGGGGGCUCUUCGGACCUCGCGCUAACAGAUGAGCCUAGGUCGGAUUAGCUAGUUGGUGGGGUAAUGGCCCACCAAGGCGACGAUCCGUAACUGGUCUGAGAGGAUGAUCAGUCACACUGGAACUGAGACACGGUCCAGACUCCUACGGGAGGAAGCAGUGGGGAAUAUUGGACAACGAGCGAAAGCCUGAUCCAGCCAUGCCGCGUGUGUGAAGAAGGUCUUCGGAUUGUAAAGCACUUUAAGUCGGGAGGAAGGACUGUAGGCUAAUACCUUGCAGUUUUGACGUUACCGACAGAAUAAGCACCGGCUAACUUCGUGCCAGCCGCCGCGGUAA
rnacentral:rRNA from 1 species